AGAUCCAACACUGUUUCUCAUAGCUUGCUGUAUUAGAGCUGUUGUAACAAAUACGAAGAAAAGUCAUACAAGCAGAGCAAUUUCUGAGCCAGCGGAUCAUGAUGAAAAGGAGACCGGCCACUCCAGGCAAGGUUUGCAGCAAGGCAGUUUCAUUGUAACCUGUCUUGUGAAUGCUUAGCUUUCCUAGUGUCAGCUUUUAAAUUUAAACUUUCCAUUGCUGGAUUUAUUCUGUAAUAUAUUAAGAACACUGCUGAAAAGAUUAGAAAAAUCUGAUCAUCACAAAGACAUGAAAAGGGCUGAGAGAGCAAUGUAUUUCUGAUAUAAUAGCAGAUUUCCCUUUUACUUCUUUUCUAUGAAAAAAAAAUAAAUCCCCAAUCCAUUCAAACCAGGUUAAUAGAACAUAGAGUUUCAGUCUACAGUUUCUGGAAGACUCUAAGGAGCAUUGUUUGCCUUUCUGUUCAUUUUCUCCUUUUGAAUUCCACCUAGAUGAAGCAGAGGCUUGAGAUAGCACAGAGCAAAAUGGAACGAAAACAGACAUACACCUGAUUUCUUAGGCCUCUUGAAAAUUAAUGGGCAGGAAGGUUUAACUUGUUCAGAGUGGACUAUUGACAUUAUAAAGGUGUAAUUGCUGAGAAUAUCCUUAGGGAUUAGUUUUAACCUUGUGAUUAUACUGUAGGACUUUUACGCUCCUUGACCCUAGAAGGAGUGUCCAGGUGGGGGACAUCUGAGCUCAUCUUUGUCCAGGUGCACCUCCUAUCAUCAGUGAAUGCUCUGAAGUGGGAAGGAGAAGUUCAGAGUGCUGAUGGUCACAGAGAUCUUCCAUUCCUGAAUCCUAUCACCUUCUCUUCACAACAACUUGGAGAAGAUCCAGAGAGUUGUGGACCCACGGAGGAGACAUCUGGAGACAGCGGAGAGAAGACAACACAGCUCCAUAUUCCCACCGGGGGCCAUUAGAGAUGGGCAAGGUGCUUUCUGGGGAGCCACAAGCUCGCUCAGGGGUGCUGCAGCUCUGAGUCCAGAUCCUCUGCUUGUGGGCUCCACAUGGAGGGCUCCUAAGUGUCUCUGAUGCCAAGUUGCCCGCCAGAGAUCAAGCCUCCCAGGUG
rnacentral:lncRNA from 1 species